GGCGCUAUGGCGCAAUUGGUUAGCGCGUUCGGCUGUUAACUUCUCAGAUUCGAAAGAUUCUGAGUAACCGCGACCGAGAGGUUGUAAGUUCGAUCCUUACUAGCGCCG
rnacentral:tRNA from 1 species